rnacentral:rRNA from 1 species
ACGGAAGGCAGCAGUGGGGAAUAUUGCGCAAUGGGGGCAACCCUGACGCAGCAACGCCGCGUGAAGGAUGAAGGUUUUCGGAUUGUAAACUUCUUUUAUUAAGGACGAACAAUGACGGUACUUAAUGAAUAAGCUCCGGCUAACUACGUGCCAGCAGCCGCGGUAAUACGUAGGGAGCAAGCGUUAUCCGGAUUUACUGGGUGUAAAGGGUGCGUAGGCGGCUUGGUAAGUCAGAUGUGAAAUGUAUGGGCUCAACUCAUGCACUGCAUUUGAAACUAUCGAGCUUGAGUGAAGUAGAGGUAGGCGGAAUUCCCUGUGUAGCGGUGAAAUGCGUAGAGAUAGGGAGGAACACCAGUGGCGAAGGCGGCCUACUGGGCUUUAACUGACGCUGAGGCACGAAAGCGUGGGUAGCAAACAGGAUUAGAUACCCUGGUA